UUUAUGGAGAGUUUGAUCCUGGCUCAGGAUAAACGCUGGCGGCGUGCCUAAUACAUGCAAGUCGAGCGAACGGACGAGAAGCUUGCUUCUCUGAUGUUAGCGGCGGACGGGUGAGUAACACGUGGAUAACCUACCUAUAAGACUGGGAUAACUUCGGGAAACCGGAGCUAAUACCGGAUAAUAUUUUGAACCGCAUGGUUCAAAAGUGAAAGACGGUCUUGCUGUCACUUAUAGAUGGAUCCGCGCUGCAUUAGCUAGUUGGUAAGGUA
rnacentral:rRNA from 1 species